rnacentral:lncRNA from 1 species
UAACUUUGCAACGAGUACUUUUUCUCAUUCUAUCGAACAAAGAGUAAAACCUAAAUUAUUGUUCUAUUAUCCCCGGGAGAGUGGUAAAUUUGAACGAAUCAAUGUCAGUGUUACAAGAACAAAUCCGAUCAGAUUAGACAACUCAGUUGCGCAAUAACAGUUGUAACUUGCAGCGAGUACUUUUUAUCAUCUAUCGAACAAAGCGUAAAAACUAAUUAUUAAUUGUUCUAUCAUGCCUAGAGAGUGUAAAUUUGGAACGAAUCGAUGUCAACGUUCACAAGAACAAAAACCGGAACAACAUUAGACAACUCAGUUGCGCCCUAACAGUAUAACUUUGAAACGAGUACUUUUUCUCAUUCUAUCAAACAAAAGGUAAAACCUAAUUAUAUAGUUCAAUUAUGUCCCGAGAGUGUAAAUUUGGAAUGAAUCGAUGUCAACGUUCACAAGAACCAAAACCGGAACAAAAUUAGACAACUCAGUUGUGCCCGAACAGUAUAACUUUGAAACGAGUACUUUUUCUCAUUCUAUCGAACAAAGAGUAAAACCUAAUUAUUUUGUUCUAUUAUGCUCCGAGAGUGUAAAUUUGGAAUGAAUCGAUGUCAACGUUCACAAGAACCAAAACCAGAACAACAUUUGAAUACUCAGUUGCGCCCUAAUAGUAUAACUUUGCAACGAGUACUUUUUCUCAUUCUAUCGAACAAAGAGUAAACCUAAUUAUAUUCUUCUAUUAUGCCCAGAGAGUGUAAAUUUGGAACGAAUCUAUGUCAACGUUCACAAGAACCAAAACCGGAACAACAUUAGGCUAAUCAGUUAGGCCCCAACAGUAUAACUUUGAAACGAGUACUUUUUCUCAUUCUAUUGAACAAAGUGUAAAACCUAAUUAUAUUGUUCUAUCAUGCCCAGAGAGUGUAAAUUUGGAACGAAUCGAUGUCAACGUUCACAAAACAAAAACCGUAACAACAUUAGACUACUCAGUUGCGCCCUAGCAGUAUAACUUUGAAACGAGUACUUUUUCUAAUUCUAUCGAACAAAGAGUAAAACCUAAUUAUAUAGUUCCAUUAUGCUCCGAGAGUGUAAAUUUGGAAUGAAUCGAUGUCAACGUUCACAAGAACCAAAACCGGAACAACAUUACAAUACUUAGUUGCACCCUAAUAGUAUAACAUUGCAACGAGUACUUUUUCUCAUUCUAUCGAACAAAGAGUAAAACCUAAUUAUAUUCUACUAUUAUGCCCAGAGAGUGUAAAUUUGGAACGAAUCUAUGUCAACGUUCACAAAAACCAAAACCGGAACAACAUUAGACUACUCAGUUGCGCCCUAACAGUAUAACUUUGCAACUAGUACUUUUUCUCAUUCUAUCGAACAAAGAGUAAAACCUAAUUAUAUUGUUCUAUCAUGCCUAGAGAGUGUAAUUUUGGAACGAAUCGAUGUCAACGUUCACAAGAACAAAAACCGGAACAACAUUAGACAACUCAGUUGCGCCCUAACAGUAUAACUUUGAAACGAGUACUUUUUCUCAUUCUAUCGAACAAAGNNNNNNNNNNNNNNNNNNNNNNNNNGAGUUGAACUUGAGGCAGCGCAGAUGGUUGGAGCUACUCAAGGAUUAUGACUUGACUAUUCUUUACCACCCGGGCAAGGCUAACGUGGUGGCGGAUGCGCUAAGUCGGAAAUCGACGCAGAACUUAGCGAUGCUUGUGGUUACUCAACCGCCGUUGAUCGAGCAGAUGAAGCGGUUGGAGUUGGAGGUGGUGGCUCCUGACACACCUUUGAGGCUGAUGACUUUGGUGGUGCAACCUAUCCUUUUGGAAAGGAUUAAAGAAAAGCAAGCUUCCGACUUGGAUUUGCAAAAGAUUCGAGCUAAGAUGGUUGAUGGUUGCACCGGUGACUUCACUUUAGACGGUGAUGGAUUGGUGCGUUUCCGCGGACGACUUUGUGUACCGGCGGACUUGGGCAUUAAAGAGGAUAUUCUUCAAGAAGCACACCGAGCGCCGUAUGCUAUACAUCCGGGAGGCACCAAGAUGUACAAGGAUUUGAAAUUACUCUAUUGGUGGCCCGGGAUGAAAAAGGAUGUUGGUGAGUUUGUUGCUAGAUGUCUAACUUGCCAACAGGUGAAGGCCGAGCACCGAGUUCCUGCAGGGAAGUUGCAGAGCCUACCGAUUCCAGUGUGGAAGUGGGAAAAGAUCACCAUGGAUUUUGUGAUGGGAUUGCCUCGCUCACAGGCCGGGCAUGACGCUAUUUGGGUGAUUGUGGAUAGAUUGACGAAAUCAGCACAUUUCAUACCUAUCCACACUACUUGGACUGGUGAGAGACUCGCACAGGUUUAUUUGGAUGAGAUUGUGCUAUUGCACGGGGUACCUACUUCUAUAGUAUCGGAUCGAGACCCCCGUUUUGUAUCCCAUUUUUGGAGGAGCUUACAAGACGCUUUGGGUACGCGCUUGGAUUUCAGCACUGCUUUCCACCCCCAGAGUGACGGGCAGUCGCAGCGUACUAUACAGACUCUCGAGGACAUGCUUCGAGCCUGCGUGAUUGACUUCUAGGGAGGAUGGUCGCAGCAUCUACCGAUGGCAGAGUUUGCUUAUAACAACAGUUAUCAAGCAAGCAUCAAGAUGGCGCCGUUCGAGGCACUCUAUGGACGGAAGUGUAGAUCGCCACUUCAUUGGAGUGAAGUUGGCGAGAGAUUGGCUUUAGGCCCAGAUGUGCUUCAGGAAGCAGAGGACAAGGUUCGCAUUGCUCGGGAGCGAUUGUUGACGGCCCAGAGUAGGCAGAGGAGUUAUGCUGAUCGGCGUCGACGAGACUUGGAGUUUCAGAUUGGAGAUCAUGUCUUCUUGAAAGUCUCGCCGACCCGAGGGAUUAGAAGAUUUGGAAUCCGGGGUAAGUUGAGCCCCCGAUACAUUGGACCGUAUGAGGUUUUGGAGCGUGUAGGCCCGGUAGCGUAUAGACUUGCUCUACCGCCAAACCUAUCGGGUGUACACAAUGUAUUCCAUGUAUCGGUCCUUCGGAAGUACGUCCACGACCCGGCUCAUGUAUUGGAUGCUACACCGAUAGAGCUGCGGGAGGAUUUGAGCUUUGAGGAGCAACCCUUGAGGAUUUUGGCUCGCGAGGUGAAAAGAUUGCGGAACCGGGAAAUUCCCUACGUGAAGGUGCUUUGGAGCAACCACGACGAGCGCGAGGCCACUUGGGAGCUAGAGAGCGCGCUCCAGGAGCGCUAUCCCCAUCUUUUUCAGAUGGAGUCGUGAGGUACGGCGUUUGUUUUCGAGUUUUGCGGACGAAACUCAUUUUUAGGAGGGGUGAAUGUGACGCACUGGACCUUUGCAAAUUGCGAGGUUCGAGUGUUUGGAUAGUGUCCCGAGUUUUUCCAGACUUUCUGGUAGGUCGUUGACUGUGUUCCGACCCAUGGCUCACAUCCCGAGAAUUGUGGUAUUUUAUGUAGCGCUAAGGUCACCAAAUAGUUGGACUUAGCCUACCCUCGGAUUGCAUUCUGCACGAGGUGUAACCGGUGACAGGUCGAUGGCUGUACCGGUACACAUUUUGUACCGGUACACUUGUGAUGGCUGUACCGGUACACUUGUGGCGAAUUUCAAACCCG